rnacentral:rRNA from 1 species
UACGUAGGGUGCGAGCGUUAAUCGGAAUUACUGGGCGUAAAGCGUGCGCAGGCGGUUCGUCGAGUCUGAUGUGAAAGCCCCGGGCUCAACCUGGGAACGGCAUUGGAUACUGGCGGGCUGGAGUGUGGCAGAGGGGGGUGGAAUUCCGCGUGUAGCAGUGAAAUGCGUAGAGAUGCGGAGGAACACCGAUGGCGAAGGCAGCCCCCUGGGCUGACACUGACGCUCAGGCACGAAAGCGUGGGGAGCAAACAGG